ACAGCGAUGAAUAUAAAGCACUUAAAGUAACAAUACAAAAAGCGUGUAACGAGAAAUACAGCCUCAAAUUCCCAACUACGUUUUCCGACUGCCGUUUGAAAAGCUUCAGUGCCUUAAAUACACCACAAGGGUCUG